rnacentral:tRNA from 1 species
AUGACCUUAAGUUAAAAAAACUAUAAACCUUCAAAGUUUAAUAUAUCGUUAAUGAUAAGUCUUA